AGAAUCAACGCUGGCGGCGUGCCUAACACAUGCAAGUCGAACGGGAAAGUGGAGCAAUCCAUGAGUAUAGUGGCGACCGGGUGAGUAACACGUGACUAACCUACCCUUGAGUGGGGGAUAACCUCGGGAAACCGGGGCUAAUACCGCAUAACAUCUUCGGGAUGAGAAGCUGAAGAUCAAAGGAGCAAUUCGCUUUCGGAGGGGGUCGCGGCUGAUUAGCUAGUUGGCGGGUAACGCCCACAGGCUUUGAUCGGUA
rnacentral:rRNA from 1 species